rnacentral:rRNA from 1 species
AUUGAACGCUGGCGGCAGGCCUAACACAUGCAAGUCGAGCGGAGCGGCGGACGGGUGCGUAAUGCCAAGGAAUCUGCAUGGGAGUGGGGGAUAAGGUCCGGAAAUGGGCGCUAUUACCACAUCCUCUUAGCUGAGCAUGGGUCGGAUUAGCUAGUUGGUGGGGGAAAGGCAUACCAAGGCGACGAUCCGGAACUGGUCUGAGAGGAUGAUCAGUCACACUGGAACUGAGACACGGUCCAGACUCCUACGGGAGGCAGCAGUGGGGAAUAUUGGACAAUGGGCGAAAGCCUGAUCCAGCCAUGCCGCGUGUGUGAAGAAGGUCUUCGGAUUGUAAAGCACUUUAAGUUGGGAGGCGUUACCAACAGAAUAAGCACCGGCUAACUUCGUGCCAGCAGCCGCGGUAAUAC